rnacentral:rRNA from 1 species
CGCGUAGGCGGCCUCCGCAAGUCGACUGUGAAAUCUCUGGGCUUAACCCAGAACGGUCAGCCGAUACUGCGGGGCUAGAGUGCAGAAGGGGCAACUGGAAUUCUCGGUGUAGCGGUGAAAUGCGUAGAUAUCGAGAGGAACACCUGCGGCGAAGGCGGGUUGCUGGGCUGACACUGACGCUGAGGCGCGAAAGCUAGGGGAGCGAACG